UUUAUUAAUAAUAUGAAAAAGAAAUAUUGACUUUGGGAUAAUAACUUAUAUUUUAUUUUAUUUUUUUAGGUUUGCAAACUAUCGACCUUUAGACUAAUGUAUUUUGGGUUAAGGGUAUAAAUCUUUCCUUGACCACAAUAGGGGAGGAAUAGACUUCCAAGUGGGUAGCACAGGCAUUAUUUUAUUGACCUGGAUGGGUAAAUUCAUUGAUGUAGAGUAUUCCUGGGUGGGCACCUACGUGGCAUAGUGGAUAGGGCCUGAAGUCAGAAAGACUCAUCUUAUUGCAUUCCAUUCUGGCCUCAGACACUUACUAUGUGACCCUGGGCAAGUCAUGUAACACUACUUGCAUCAGUUCCUCAUCUGUAACAUGAGUUAGAGAAGGAAAUGACAAACCAUUCCAAUACCUUUGCCAAGAAAACAUCAAACAGGGGACUUCUAGGGUGACUCCGUAGAUUGAGAGCCAGAAUGGGAGAUGGGAAGUCCUGUGUUCAAAUCUAGACUCAGACACUUCCUAGCUGUAUGACCCUGGGCAAGUCACUUAACCCCAGUUGCCCAGCCCUUACCGCUCUUCUAUCUUGGAACCAUACCUAGUAUUGAUUCUUAGGCAGAGGGUAAGGAUUUAAAAAAAAAUAAAAGGGGAAAAAAAAGAGAUGAAAACCCUAAAUGGGGCCAUGAAGAGUCAGACAUGACUGAAACAACUCAAUCGAAACAACUGAACACCACCAAUUUCUGGGUAAGGAAUUUCCUUCUACUUGUGCAAAUCAACAAUUUCUUUGUAAUUUAUGGUUGCUUUGGGCUCUCACAGAUUAAAUCACUUGCUCAGGGUCCCCAGCAAUAAUGUAUCUGAGGCAGGUCUUGAAUCAAGUUUUCCUGAUUCCAAGGCUGACUUUCUAUCCAUUAUGUCAAGGUGUCUCUCAAUAGAAGUCUCUUACCUUCAUUUUGCAAAGAAGGAAACUGAGGAUUUGAAAGUUUCAGGGACUUUUUCAUGAUCACACUGCCAGUAAGUUUCUGAGGUAGGAUUUGGACCCAGUUCUCCUGAAUUGGAGGCUAGGGCUGAUAUUUUACCCCCUUGGCCAUGCUGCCUCCUCUAUACAUAACAGAAAAUCAAGAUAAUUAGGACUGAGAGACCCUUCAGAGGCUAAUAUUUCAGGAUAAAAUUUUAGAGGAACUAGGAAGGAAAUAUUUGGCUAUUAAUCAGAGCCAUCCUGAAAACUCAUGACCAGAUGACUUAAAACUCCUUCCAUGGGUCCCAUUGGGCAAUGCAAAAACAAACAUCUGUGCCUAGUGCAGCUUCCUUCAAGUAGGUGGCUGGUACCUCCAUACCAGAAGCUCACUUUAGAAGGGACGGAGGAGAGAAAGGUCAAAAUGAAGAAGCUGCUGGCCAUGGUCCUCUUUCUGUUCACCCUGACUAUCUUUUCAGAUUCUUCUCCAAUACUGACAGAAAAACAAGCCAAGCAACUCCUGAGAAGUCGGCGGCAGGAUCGGCCCAGCAAACCUGGUUUCCCUGAUGAGCCAAUGCGGGAGUACAUGCUUCACCUUCUUCGGCUGGAGCAGAGAGCGGAGGAGCAAUUCUUUGAGCAUUGGCUGAAUCCACACUGCAAGCCACACUGCGAUAGGAAUCUGGUUCAUCCUGUUUAAUGGAGUUCUCAGGUGUCAGCAAUACCUCGCUGAAAGAAAAAGAUGCCUGCAGGCUGGACCUCCUGUUUUGGAGAUGGAGGAAAGAUGAAGGGGCCAGAAGGUGGAAAGGAAGAGAAAACAAAUGCCAACAAGUGCUUUUUGAGGAAACACCCCCAUUACACUUAAGCGGUCUACCUGUCCUUCUGCACUUCUUUCCUGACCCUGGGAAUGGCUUCCUCCAGGGCUGGGGGAUCUGGGGCCAUCUUUAUGAAGACACCCGUGGCCAAGGUUGCUCAAGGGAUGGAUGACCGAUUUGUUUGCUUUUUGAUUUUGCCCACCCGUCCAGAUCCUGCAUGUUAGGGACCGGAAGCACAAGUGCCCACAGAGGCUUCCUGCUAGGCUUAGAGGUGAGGCAGAGGAGGAGAUCUUACUUCUCAUCUGCAAAGGCACAGAUGCCAGGCUAGGAGCUGCCAUGAGGCCUCCGGGCUUACGGAUUUGGGUGAAGCUUACCACUUGUGCCCGCUAAUAUUGUGAUUGCUUCAGUUCCACGCUACCAGCUUUCCCUGCCUCCCGGCCCUCCCCUCCAUCAUCAUAAAUAAAUGCUGGCAUUCACUCUGUUUCUGUAAUGUUCUGAUUCCUUUGACAACCAGACAGGCUAGUGGAAGA